GCAGCUCAGUGUGAAGUGCUUGCCUGGCAUGCCUGAGGCCCUGGAUUGGAUUCCCAGCACCAAAAAAAAAAAAAAAAAAAAAAUUCAGUCCAUUCCUGUAGCAGGGAUUGGUGGUACACACCUAUAAUCCCAGCUACUCAGGAGGCUGAGACAGGAGGACUACAAGUUUGAGGCUACCCUGGGCAGAACUUAGGGAGACCCUGUCUCAAAAUAAAUUUUAAAAAGAACUGGGGAUGUAGCUAAGAGGUGGAGUCCCUCUGGGUUCAGUCCCCAGUGCUAAAAAAGCAAAUACCCUCAGCUGAUUCCUGUCUGGAGUGUCGCACCUUCAGAGUGGAUGCUUCACCAGAGCUGGUACAGGUUUUCUUGGUCCAGGCCCCUGUGUCCUUUGGACCCUGGCUUUGGGGCCCUGCCUGGGAAAAGGAAUGACAUGUUCCAAAAUCCGAUGGGGUUGUAGCUUUACCCCACAGAGACUUCCCAGGUCUCAGAGACUUGGCCGGAUUUCUGGGGAAGACCUGGCCUGACAGGACCUCCUCUGCCAGGCUUGCCACCACCACUGCCACCUGACACAGCAGAUCCAGGAGGAUAACAGCCAAGUCACAGAAGGACCAGUCACAGAGGGACCCCUUUGGUGGAAGGGACUGGGUAGCAGGGAUUGGUG
rnacentral:lncRNA from 1 species